rnacentral:rRNA from 1 species
AGUGAACGCUGGCGGUAGGCCUAACACAUGCAAGUCGAACAGCAGCACAGUAAGAGCUUGCUCUUACGGGUGGCGAGUGGCGGACGGGUGAGGAAUACAUCGGAAUCUACUUUUUCGUGGGGGAUAACGUAGGGAAACUUACGCUAAUACCGCAUACGACCUACGGGUGAAAGCAGGGGAUCUUCGGACCUUGCGCGAUUGAAUGAGCCGAUGUCGGAUUAGCUAGUUGGCGGGGUAAAGGCCCACCAAGGCGACGAUCCGUAGCUGGUCUGAGAGGAUGAUCAGCCACACUGGAACUGAGACACGGUCCAGACUCCUACGGGAGGCAGCAGUGGGGAAUAUUGGACAAUGGGCGCAAGCCUGAUCCAGCCAUACCGCGUGGGUGAAGAAGGCCUUCGGGUUGUAAAGCCCUUUUGUUGGGAAAGAAAAGCAGCAGGUUAAUACCCCGCUGUUCUGGCGGUACCCAAAGAAUAAGCACCGGCUAACUUCGUG